UUUCCCUUAUCUUAUUUCAAAACAUUGGGGACAAUGUUCGAUUUAAGUGUGGGAGGAGACUCUAUCGUCUUUUCUUUAUUGCUUUUCUCGUCUUUCCUUUAUCGUUUUUCUUUUCUGUUUUUAGAUAGUUUGUUUAUUUUUUCUUUAGUUGUUUACUUUGCUUUUUAGUAUAAUGAAUGAGUCUGACGAGUCACCAAAUAUAGUAUAUCUUU
rnacentral:lncRNA from 1 species